rnacentral:piRNA from 1 species
UGGUAGAAAUCUCUGAGGAUAAAAUACU